rnacentral:rRNA from 1 species
CCUACGGGUGGCAGCAGUGAGGAAUAUUGGUCAAUGGACGAGAGUCUGAACCAGCCAAGUAGCGUGAAGGAUGACUGCCCUAUGGGUUGUAAACUUCUUUUAUAUGGGAAUAAAACGUUCCACGUGUGGGAUUUUGUAUGUACCAUAUGAAUAAGGAUCGGCUAACUCCGUGCCAGCAGCCGCGGUAAUACGGAGGAUCCGAGCGUUAUCCGGAUUUAUUGGGUGUAAAGGGAGCGUAGGUGGAUUGUUAAGUCAGUUGUGAAAGUUUGCGGCUCAACCGUAAAAUUGCAGUUGAUACUGGCAGUCUUGAGUACAGUAGAGGUGGGCGGAAUUCGUGGUGUAGCGGUGAAAUGCUUAGAUAUCACGAAGAACUCCGAUUGCGAAGGCAGUUCACUGGACUGCAACUGACACUGAGGCUCGAAAGUGUGGGUAUCAAACAGGAUUAGAUACCCCUGUAGUC